rnacentral:rRNA from 1 species
UACGUAGGGUGCGAGCGUUGUCCGGAAUUAUUGGGCGUAAAGAGCUCGUAGGCGGUUUGUUGCGUCGGCCGUGAAAACCCGCAGCUCAACUGUGGGCUUGCAGCUGAUACGGGCAGGCUUGAGUUCGGUAGGGGAGACUGGAAUUCCUGGUGUAGCGGUGAAAUGCGCAGAUAUCAGGAGGAACACCGGUGGCGAAGGCGGGUCUCUGGGCCGAUACUGACGCUGAGGAGCGAAAGCGUGGGGAGCGAACAGG